AGCGGGGUAGAGUAAUGGUUAACUCGUCAGGCUCAUAAUCUGUAGAAUGCAGGUUCGAAUCCUGCCCCCGCCU
rfam:Gossypium arboreum cultivar AKA8401 contig_985_11, whole genome shotgun sequence.